CUCCUACGGGAGGCAGCAGUGGGGAAUAUUGCACAAUGGGCGAAAGCCUGAUGCAGCAACGCCGCGUGAGUGAAGAAGGUCUUCGGAUUGUAAAGCUCUGUCUUUUGGGACGAAAAUGACGGUACCAAAGGAGGAAGCCACGGCUAACUACGUGCCAGCAGCCGCGGUAAUACGUAGGUGGCAAGCGUUGUCCGGAUUUACUGGGCGUAAAGGAUGUGUAGGCGGAUAUUUAAGUGAGAUGUGAAAUCCCCGUGCUCAACAUGGGGGCUGCAUUUCAAACUGGGUAUCUAGAGUGCAGGAGAGGAAAGCGGAAUUCCUAGUGUAGCGGUGAAAUGCGUAGAGAUUAGGAAGAACAUCAGUGGCGAAGGCGGCUUUCUGGACUGUAACUGACGCUGAGGCAUGAAAGCGUGGGGAGCAAACAGGAUUAGAUACCCUGGUAGUCCACGCCGUAAACGAUGAGUACUAGGUGUAGGAGGUAUCGACUCCUUCUGUGCCGCAGUAAACACAAUAAGUACUCCGCCUGGGAAGUACGGUCGCAAGAUUAAAACUCAAAGGAAUUGACGG
rnacentral:rRNA from 1 species